AUUCUCCUUGCAAAAAACCAUGAUAAAAAAGUAAGUUUAUUCAAAUUCAUAUAUUAAAAUGGAUAAAGCACAUUCAUAUCUUUAUCGACAUUGCGUAAUUCCAAGGCUAUAACAAACAUGACAUUUAUGUAUAACGUAUAACAAAUAAUGUAAAUAAAACAAUUAUUACCUAUAUCAAAAUGUAUAAAAUUUACAAUAUAUUACAGUUUUAAAAUCAUCCAAUAUGUUGUUUUUGUGACUGAGUAUUUUUUUGUUCCACGAAUCUUUGCGAAUCACAUGUGAAGUUGUAAUAAAAUGAUUUCAUUACCGGCCAUUAGGGAGCUAUCAUUUGAUUUUUUAUAGGGGAGCUUGGAUGAAAUUUGAAAAAAGGCAGGACAGGGUUGAAAAAAAAGCAGGAUGAGUAACUUGACAAAAAAAAAAGGCAGGAUGACAAUUUAUGUAAAAUAAGUCAGGAUAAACUAAGAAAAAAAAAGGCUGGACCGAAAAGAGUGAAAAAUAAAAAGGCAGGACACUGAGAGAUUACAAUUUAAAAAAAAUGCAGGACAACAUUUUCAUCCUUGUCAGCAAAAAAUAAAUAAACAAACUAGCUUCAUUUGAUACGGUCCACUUAGUUACACAGUUUAAAGCACCUAUUGUUUACAGGUGUCUAUUGCCCAUCUGGGCAAAUUUCCGCUUAAAUUUUCAAAGUCCCAUGGCCAAUUUACAGGUGUCUAUUGCCCAUCUGGGCAAAUUUCCGCUAAUUUUCAAAGUCCCAUGGCCAACCCUACGUUUCCGCCAAUUUAAAGUAUACGUUUCCGCAAUUUGUAUUUAUUACUUUUUCCGGAAAUUUACAUGGUAAAUUAUAAAAAAUCGAAUAUAUAUUAGAUAAAUUAUUUAUUAUAUUUCUUUAAUAAAGAAAAUGUUCUGAUCUUAUAUCUAUACAAUAUACUAGAUACAACUAGUUGACUCUUGUCAACGAAUGGUGCCGAGUCUUUUCAUGCCCACCUGAGCGAGCAGUUUUACGCUAGCCAUUCUAACAUUUUUUUUCUUAUUCGAUGUGUUAUUGGAUCUUCAAACAACAUCAAACAUAAUUUAGAUGAGAACUCUAACUUACUGUAAAGGUAUUUAUUUCUUAAUUAUUUGCGGAAAAGUAGUAAUUUAUUUUUUCCGGAAUAGUUAUUUUUCUCCGGAAAAGUAAGAUAUUUAUUUGCUUUUUUCCGGAAACGUUAUCUUUUUUUCCCCGGUAAAAAGUAAUGUAUAUUUGCGGAAACGUAAAACGUCGGUCCAUCUAUUGUCCAUUUAAAUCAAUUUUACUCACAACAUCGAUAAUAUGAGGGGAACUUCUCAAACGUUUUUCUAUCUUAGUUUAUUUUUGCACCUUUCUCAGGAAUGAAAACAAAAUGAAUAUUAGCAAAAUCCAGAAGUUUAUAAUUUUCUGAACUAUAAAAUGCAUUUAAAAAUUUAAUUGUAAUAUCUAGGUGCCUCCAUGCCUUAAAUCUUUCGAAGGUGCACAGGGUUUUCUGUACUCAGAGUAGAAUUUUAUGGUGUAAAUACGUCCAGUUCAGCUAAAAUGUUAUGAUGAACCUUACUGACAAUGAUCAUCAUUGAAGGACGUAUGUUAGUAAUACGUUCAUGCAAUGAUGAUUGAAUGAUAUGCAUAUAUACUAUUAAACAGCCUAUUCUGUGGGCUACGGUAACAUGGAAAUGUAACAAUAAUAAAAUAAAGUUAUGGGGUAAACCCCCCCCCCCGCGAUACAUUGGAGACUAAUUGCCGCAAUACAGGGUUGGCCAAGGAUCCGAUUAAUUAUAGAUGUAAAAUAAUAUUUGUGUCUACGGUUAUAUUGCAGUAUUGUUACAUUCAUGACAUUAUUGCACUUCAAUGAACGCUAAAUUUAUUAGACUUAAACCUUCUACAAAAUGUAUAGUUUUGUUGCUUAUUUUUUUUCCGCUUAUAAAUAUAAACGAAUUAAGGUAGCACAAUACAAAGAUUUUUUCACUCCCAAUCAGACAAUUUUAAACUGAUGUAAUUCAUUUCAUCCUUCUUUAUACAUCUGUAUCUUAUAAAUGAGGUACCAAAAGAAAGAAGAAAGAUUAAUCUAUCAAAUUGUGAUAAUUUCAUUAUGACAUAAUUGUUACAUAAUUAAUUAUUUUGUAAUUUGUCGCUAUAUUGUGAGUCCACACUUGAAUGAAUUUAAGCGUCUUGUUCUUCAUAGCAUCCAAAAUAUUUUAUAGAUUCUUGUAUUACACAGGUUGGAGCUCUGCAAAACUGUGUCUCAGAUUUCGAAAAAUAUCAAUAGAACAAAUUUUAUACCCAAUUGAAUUUAGUGGUCUCUAAUGAAUUGAUGUAUGCAAACUUCAUUGAAGAUUUAUGAGAGAAUGAAAUACAAUAGGAAAAAUCUGAGACACAGUUUUGGAGGUCAAACUGUGUUGUGCAAGAAUCUAUAUUUUUUUAGGAUGCUAUGAAGAACAAAAAAGCUAAAUUCAUUCAAGUAUGGACAUCACAGAAUGGCAACUAAUUACAUACAAUUAAUUAUGUUAUAAUUAUGUAAUAAUGAAAUUAUCACAAUUUGAAAGAUUAAUCCUUCUUCUUUCUUUUGGUACCUCAUUUAUAAAAUUUAAAGAAAGAUGAGUGGAAUUACAUCGGUUUAAAGAUGUCUGAUUGGGGAUGAAAAAUCUUUGUAUUGUGCUACCUUAAAUAUGAUAUAUUGUACGACAAUAUCACCAUAUCCAUUGAUAUCAGCACAUGCAUCUCAAUUUGUGGACUGAUUUGGGGUCCCUAGUUCAUGGUUCAGUGACUUCGAAUUAAUAAGCAAUAUAGCUAUUAAUCAGAUUUACUUUUUCUUAAAAAAAAAGUUGAACAACCCAAAUCAAAUGGAAGAAAACAACCGAAGGCCACCAAUCAUGCCAAUGAGCAUGAUGAGUCUUCAACACAGGUAGAAAAAUCUCGCACCCAAAGUUGGCAUUAGCUGGCCCCUAUCCAAACAUACAGAUACAUAAAUGUGAAGUAUACCAAAACAACAUAGACAGUUUAUGUAGAAGGUGGGGUGUGGGUGGGGGGUCUUUAUGUGUAAUUUUCAGAGAGGUAUCAAAACGUUUAGGUCACUAGUCUUAGAUUUGUUUGCUUUUUUCUUACAGUUUUAGAGUUGAACAAGAACACAAUCACUGGAGAUAACCUUAUUAAAAAGAUGAAUUUGUUGACAGAGGAUUAAGUGAGAAAUGGUACGUACCGUACAGAGACGCAUUAAACACAGGCUAGUGAUAAAUGGUACCGUAAAGAGACACAUUAAACACAGGCUGGUGUUAAAUGGUACCGUAUAGAGACACAUUAAACACAGACUGAUGUUAAAUGGUGUCGUAUAGAGAAACAUUAAGCACACGCUGGCUUUAAAUGGUACUGUAUAGAGACACAUUAAGCACACGCUGGCGUUAAAUUUAAAUGGUACUGUAUAGAGGUACACGAAACACUGAAGGGUGAUAAACGUCAUACAUGUGAUUUUGCCAGAUAAUUUGCCGAGGUGGUACCUUAAAGAGACAUUAAAAAAGCCCCUUUGAGAAAACAGACUGAUAGAAAAUGUCGUAAAUGUGAUGUUUGAGCUAGCGAAUUAAGUCAAGAUAGUUAAUUAAAGGGACACAGUCAUGACAAAACGUACUUGUGAAAUGGUGUAAACUUAAAUUUUGUCAUAUUUAUGUAUUUGUGGCAGUAAUCUGAAGAG
rnacentral:lncRNA from 1 species